rnacentral:tRNA from 2 species
CAGGUGUAGUUCAAUGGUAGAAUGUCAGCCUUCCAAGCUGAAAAUACGGGUCCGAUUCCCGUUACCUG